rnacentral:rRNA from 1 species
CGGGUGCACUGAUCCAGCCGGGCCUUUCCCUCUGUGGAACUCCAUGGCCUUCACUGGCUGUGGUGGGGAAACAGGACUUUUACUUUGAAAAAAUUAGAGUGCUCCAGGCAGGCCUAUGCUCGAAUACAUUAGCAUGGAAUAAUAGAAUAGGACGUGUGGUUCUAUUUUGUUGGUUUCUAGGACCGCCGUAAUGAUUAAUAGGGACAGUCGGGGGCAUCAGUAUUCAAUUGUCAGAGGUGAAAUUCUUGGAUCUAUUGAAGACUAACUACUGCGAAAGCAUUUGCCAAGGAUGUUUUCAUUGAUAAGGAACGAAAGUUAGGGGAUCGAAGACGAUCAGAUACCGUCGUAGUCUUAACUAUAAACUAUGCCGACUAGGGAUCGGACGAUGUUAUUCUUUGACGCGUUCGGCACCUUUCGAGAAAUCAAAGUGCUUGGGCUCCAGGGGGAGUAUGGUCGCAAGGCUGAAACUUAAAGAAAUUGACGGAAGGGCACCACCAGGGGUGGAACCUGCGGCUUAAUUUGACUCAACACGGGGAAACUCACCAGGUCCAGACACAGUGAGGAUUGACAGAUUGAGAGCUCUUUCUUGAUUCUGUGGGUGGUGGUGCAUGGCCGUUCUUAGUUGGUGGAGUGAUUUGUCUGCUUAAUUGCGAUAACGAACGAGACCUUAACCUGCUAAAUAGCCCGUACUGCUUUGGCAGUUCGCCGGCUUCUUAGAGGGACUAUCGG